GCAAUGGGCGAAAGCCUGACGCAGCAACGCCGCGUGGAGGAUGAAGGCCCUUGGGUUGUAAAGUCCUGUCGGCUGGGAAGAAAUCGUUCGGGGCUAAUACCUCCGGACGUUGACUGUACCAGCAAAGGAAGCCCCGGCUAACUCUGUG
rnacentral:rRNA from 1 species